AUUGAACGCUGGCGGCAGGCCUAACACAUGCAAGUCGAGCGAGCGGCGGACGGGUGAGUAAUGCAUGGGGAUCUGGCUGAUAGAGGGGGAUAACUACGGUAAACCGUGGCUAAUGCUGCUUACUAUCGGAUGAGCUCAAGUGGGAUUAGCUAGUAGGUGAGGUAAAGGCUCACCAAGGCGACGAUUUAUAGCUGGUCUGAGAGGAUGAUCAGCCACACUGGGACUGAGACACGGCCCAGACUCCUACGGGAGGCAGCAGUGGGGAAUAUUGCGCAAUGGUCGCAAGCUGACGCAGCCAUGCCGCGUGAAUGAAGAAGGCCUUCGGGUUGUAAAGUUCUUUCGGCAGAGAGGCGUUACCCACAGAAGAAGCACCGGCUAACUCCGUGCCAGCAGCCGCGGUAAUAC
rnacentral:rRNA from 1 species